rnacentral:rRNA from 1 species
CCUACGGGAGGCAGCAGUGGGGAAUCUUGCGCAAUGGGCGAAAGCCUGACGCAGCAACGCCGCGUGCGGGAAGAAGGCCCUAGGGUUGUAAACCGCUUUCAGUAGGAACGAAAAUGACGGUACCUGCAGAAGAAGGUGCGGCCAACUACGUGCCAGCAGCCGCGGUGACACGUAGGCACCAAGCGUUGUCCGGAUUUAUUGGGCGUAAAGAGCUCGUAGGCGGUUGAGUAAGUCGGGUGUGAAAACUCUGGGCUUAACCCAGAGCCGCCACUCGAUACUGCUGUGACUUGAGUUCGGUAGGGGAGCAGGGAAUUCCUAGUGUAGCGGUGAAAUGCGCAGAUAUUAGGAGGAACACCGGUGGCGAAGGCGCUGCUCUGGGCCGAUACUGACGCUGAGGAGCGAAAGCGUGGGUAGCAAACAGGAUUAGAUACCCUGGUAGUCCACGCCGUAAACGUUGGGCACUAGGUGUGGGUUCCAACCAACGGAAUCCGCGCCGUCGCUAACGCAUUAAGUGCCCCGCCUGGGGAGUACGGCGGCAACGCUAAAACUCAAAUGAAUUGACGG